GCCAGGCCUGGGAGCCCCCUCAGCCGCGCCCAGGUCCCCGUCCGCCCGUAACCGCCGAAGGAAACGGCCCCGGCAGGGUUUUAGCGUCUUACCUAGUGGUACGGUCCCAGCCGACCGCCAUGUUUCACAGAAGCCCGGGUCGCCCGAGCCCGGCGCACACGAAGAUCUCGCGAGAACAAGAGCAACUCUCACGGCUGACCAUGUCCGAAGGGAGCGCAAAUGGAGAACUCGCGAUACUUUCCGCGUUGACGGUAUGUGAUCUAAUCAAGCGGCGCGGUCAACCUGAAAGGGGCGUGGCUACGUGGAAACUAAGUGAAAAUAGGAGGCCGGUCCCUUUCCAGGAAGGGGAAGUUACCUUCCGCCUGACCCCGAGACAAACCGACUGGAACGGCGCUCCGCACUACAGACCGGAAGUGAUCACCAGCCACCUUAAGGCGCCGGCCACACUGCAGCUCAGGUGGUUGAGAGGCCUCCGGCUUUGCGUCUUCAUUUAUUCCGGUCUACAACACCUAAACCUCCCUUGUCGGGCGUGGAGAACGGUUUCGAUUAUUCGGUCAGUGUGCUUAAGGAUUCCCUAAAAGUAAGCUACGCAAGAAAGCCCGACAGUGUGUGCUCAUGGCCCUUCACAGCACAGGACGGAAUAGAGGGGCUUUGGAAAAAAAGUUGGCUCCGAAAUGCUGGAGAGGAACCCACUCAAGCUCCCGUCCUACCCAUUUGCUACCAAAUUUUACAGGCACGCGUUGUGGUUUAAAAACAGUUUUAAGGAAAGCGUACUUAUGACGAAUGUCUACACAGAAAGCACUGUUUUCUCUAAUCUUCACAAUACUAUUGCCAAGAAAUACCACUAUUUACUUGGUUAGUAGGUGUCAACAUCUUGAGGGUUCCUCCAUGGUUUCCCAGUGGUUUCAGAACUUCAUGUCAACUUCAUGCUCAAUGACUUUCAUCCAUGUGCUGUAGGAUGAGCUGCUGGUCUCAGAGGACAAGCUCCCCACUCCCCCCUGACAGUGCAAGGAGGUCUAUGGGUUGACUCAUAGCCACCCUGCUGAGCCCAGCGUGGGCCACAGUCGUUACCACUUUUAAAAUCUGUGACCUUGGGCAUGUUCCUUCACCUCACGCUGUGUUACAUUUAAUUUGUCCUGUGUUCUUGAUUUCUUAGAGAAUUAUAGUGGUAAAAUUUAAAUCAAAUUGGAAAUUCAAAACAAUCUCAGAAAUGGCACAGUGGAUUUCAUGAUGUGUUCCUGUGAUAAGGCUGGAGAACAGCACAGUGGUCCAGAGCUCCUGAAGAGGACGUAGUUUCAAUUUCCAGCACCCACAAAGCAGUUCACAACUGUAACUCCGGUCGCAGGGGAUCUGAUGCCUUCCCACUUCCUAGGAUAUCUAGGAAGAAUGCUAUCUAGGGGCCUCCAUGACCUAUGUUCUGGGGGUAAAGUAGCAGCAGCAGCAGCAGUCCCAAACUGCCGACACCAAGUGAGGAAGGAUCGGUUUUACUAUAGUUAUUUAUCUGCUCUCUCAGAACAAAGAGCUCACAGAAACAAAAAUAUUAGAAGUGUUUUCAGAACUAUAAAACAUGCUUUGAAUUGAAAAUUCGGAAUAAUGGCAUACUUCAGAAUUCUGAGACCCAGGGCUGGACACAAACAAACAAAAAACAUGAAGAAUAAAUUUAGCUGUGGACAGAGCUCAGAGGGAGUGCACAAGGUCCUGGGUCUGAGUCUCAGUACCCAUGAUGAGACCCUGCUAGGACAAAGCCAGCUCUGCCCCCAGGCGUCAGAACAGCUCUCCAGUUACCAUGGGGCACAAGCUUGCUGAUGGCAAAGCAGAUGCAUUUUCAUGAGACACCAGGCUCUGUUUCUACUGUAAUAAAGAUGACUCCACGUCACAAGGACCAAAUAGCAUGUUACAAAAUACACUCAAACGGUUUGCAACUGAUCUUCUCACAGGAAACAUUUCAACCAUGGAAACUAUCUCACUGCCUCAUUUCAAUAAAGGAUCCAAAAUAUCUAGGCCAACAAAGCAAGCUGAUUUUGCUUUUCUUUGUAAGCAGUGCUUAUUUUUAACUGCUUCAGGAGAUGCCAAAGUGGGGAGACAAAUGAGAAAGAAGAGAGGCCCAGAUAAAGCAGUCUCCUAGAUGUCAUGUGGCUUUUUCUCCUCUGAAAGGUUUACGCUGUAGUUGCCUUUUAAUUACUCUAGCAAGUGUAUACUGAGACCACCUGAAGUGCUUUCUGUAAGGCAAAGUCUAGAUAAAGAGUCACAGUUCUGACAGCUCUGCCUUCCAAGGCUGAUAUGAGGACUGCAUCAAACAUUAGAACUUGGAGAGCCAGCGGGCAUACAGGGGCUGGGCAGCUGGACACAAACUGUAACUAUGAGAUAAAGUAUCUGCAAACCAAAGAGGAGCCAAGGAUAUGCUGUUUCAAGAUGUGUUGUGAGGUUCUUUGGUCUGACCCAUCACUGCUAAAACCUGUG
rnacentral:lncRNA from 1 species